AUCCAGCUAACGAGUCCCAAAUAGGACGAAAAGCGCGUCCUGGAU
rfam:Schistosoma haematobium scaffold718_8, whole genome shotgun sequence.